rnacentral:lncRNA from 1 species
UUGAUUUUAAUUUUCUUCCUUAGUAAGUACAGAAACUUGUACAGAGCAUGCACUCAAGUGAAUUAGGGAAGAAGGGCUGUCCCAGCCUGCUGUGCUUGGGUGACAUGACAAGCGCCAUGUUGGAGGAAGGACAUCAUGAGCUGUACACGGCUGUAAAAUUCCCAAGAAGCUCAGGAAGGAAUGCAAUUCAGAGGCAGUGCAAAAAUAAGUACCUACUGUUCCUUCUCAGAGAAGGGAAAGGGAGAGAGACUAGCAAAAGGGAAGGAGGGAGGGAGGAAAAGAAAGAAGUCCCCAUUCAUUGAAUCCCUACCACGUGUUUCAGGAACAUUCCCAGACUUUAUCUACUGAAACUUCAAACAACCUGGUUAUCACAUGCCCCAUUUUACGGAUGAAGAAACUGAGAUUCAGAGAGGUUAAUUGCUUGAUGAAUAACACAUUAGUUCAAGAUGUAUCUGUGAUGUCCAAGACCAUUCCUUACGUCCAGGACAGGGGUUUGAAAAGUGUGGGUUCCAGAGUUCCUGUCGUGGCUCACUGGUUAACAAAUCUGACUAGGAACCACAAGGGAACUCCCCAGACCGUUACUCUUAACUGGGUUUUUUUCUCAUUCACCCAGCAGGAAUCCCCCAAAUCUUUUUUCCCCAAAAAUACAACGUGGCUGCUAACGUUUCAUUAUGUAAAACAAAUAUAGGAAGGUCCCUAGGAUGCCCUAAGUCGUGUCCCCCAGUAGCCAGAAAGGGGCACCACCUCACCCCACUUCCUGCUUCCUUUGGAACUGGUACCCUCCUUCAGGAAGCAGAAAGCAAGGAUUUAAGAGCACGUCUACACAGCCAGCUGGCUUUCUUUUCCAGAUCUGCCUCCAAAUGAGCAUUUCAGAACUUCCUUAAGGGAGACCUCCCUGCACCUUGUCACCCCACCAAGCCCAUGUGUAUUCACGGACUAAAAAGAAGCCCACUGCCCGAGAGCAUCACAGUCACGUGGCCAUGUCACAGCCUGCCAUGCCCCCUUGUCCCCAGCGGUGAGGGGGCAGGAGUGCUGUUUCCAAAGCAACCGAAACACUGUGCUUGACUGAUGCUGCAGGCAGAGAGCCCCAUGGGCACACAUGCAAACACACAGUCACACACCAGGACGGAGACACCUAGGCAGGCACAACUAAAGACACAUAUGCACGCAUUCAGAAGCGGAUCGCCCGCCUAUAUUGUAGGAACGGAUGACUGCUUUAAAAGAAACAAAUGGCAUCUCAUUUCUAACUCUGGCCAGAGAAGUUGGCUUUCCAAGGAUAUAUUUAGUUGAUUCCAUAUCUGUCCUUUAAUAUUUCUUAUGGGUAACUUGCGGGACGUUGAACCCAAAGCUCUGUAAAUGCCUGCUGAUCCCAUCUGAUCUAACUCAUCUCCCAUGUUAGCUGGGAAGGGCUGAGAAGGGGGAUUGGCCAGGGAUUACACCUGGCCAAAGAGAGGUGGCCCCUUUCUCCUAAGGCUUCAAUGAGUGACUCCCCAUGAGCAACCCACCCCCACGCUGCUGCUUCAUCCUCUUCUGAUCUUCUUCCCUAAAGCCCUGCUCUUGUUGGAAUUCCCCUCCCCAGAAAGGCAGAAACAUGAACCCACUGCCUGGUGUUAGAUUCUGCCAGCUGAAUGAGAGUCUAGGGCAAGGCUAGGAGAACAAAGUCUCAAAUCUACAUGGGGUAGGUCCAGAGGCAAAAAAUCAGCUCUGAAGAGCUGGGUCUGCCCCUAGGGUCAGGCAAGACACAAGGCGGAGCUGGGCAUCUGGGAGGGGGGCAGCAUUUGUCCAGCGCUGAUAUGCGCUGAUAUGCAGGGGAGCGGGCCAGAGCUAGAGCCCUUACAGCGCCUUUGCAGAUUUGGAAAAGGGCGCCCCCUUCUGUUUGAUGAGUGAAGCUAUGUUGGACUUCAGCUCCCACCCACCCACUCCUGGUAGCCCAGAACCAGUGUAGAACCUGUAAGAAGAGUCCACAGCCUUGGCCACUGGCCAAGGCAGCUGCGGAGUGCCAAUUCACAAACACUCUCUCUCCAUGAUCUUUUCUCAUGCCCAUAUUCCCCAGACCAAACAUCUCCUCAACCCGAAGAAUCAAAACCUUGAAGGGAGCUCUGUUCUGUGCAUGAAAAACCAAAGAGCAAGUAAUACUUUCUUCCUGGCCAUGCCCACAGCAUGUGGAAGUUCCCAGGACAGGGAUGGAACCCAUGCCACAGCAGUGACCAGAGCCAGAGCAGUGACAAUGUGGAUCCUUAACCUGCUGAGCCACCAGGGAACUGCAAGAGCAAGUUGUACUUUUUUUUUUUUUUUUAGCUUUUUAGUGCCACACCUGUAGCAUGUGGAGAUUCCCAGGCUAGGGGUCAAAUGAGAGCUGUAGCUGCUGGCCUACAACACAACCAGAGCAAUGUGGAAUCCAAACCACAUCUGCAACCUACACCACAGCUCACAGCAACACUGGAUCCUUAACCCAUCAAGCAAGGCUAGGAAUUGAACCUGCAUGCUCAUGGAUGCUAGUCAGAUUUGUUAACCAAUGAGUCACAGGAAUUCCGCAAGUAGUACUCUUGAGAGUCAGUAUGGUCGGGACCCCAGGCUCCACAGCAAGGAACCCAGAG